rnacentral:rRNA from 1 species
AGAGUUUGAUCAUGGCUCAGGACGAACGCUGGCGGCGUGCUUAACACAUGCAAGUCGAACGAUGAUGCUCCAGCUUGCUGGGGUGGAUUAGUGGCGAACGGGUGAGUAACACGUGAGUAACCUGCCCUUCACUUUGGGAUAAGCCUUGGAAACGGGGUCUAAUACCGGGUAUACACAUACUGUCGCAUGGUGGUGUGUGGAAAGCUUUUGUGGUGAGGGAUGGACUCGCGGCCUAUCAGCUUGAUGGUGGGGUAGUGGCCUACCAUGGCUUUGACGGGUAGCCGGCCUGAGAGGGUGACCGGCCACACUGGGACUGAGACACGGCCCAGACUCCUACGGGAGGCAACAGUGGGGAAUAUUGCACAAUGGGCGAAAGCCUGAUGCAGCGACGCCGCGUGAGGGAUGACGGCCUUCGGGUUGUAAACCUCUUUCAGCAGGGAAGAAGCGAAAGUGACGGUACCUGCAGAAGAAGCACCGGCUAACUACGUGCCAGCAGCCGCGGUAAUUC